AUGUGUCCAGCUGAAGACAUGAAAGACGUGCAGCUCGCUGCUCCUUCUCCUACAAACAGAGAGAAGAUGAUCCUGCUGCUCCUCAUCCUCACCUCCUCAGCAGCAGCACUUGAAGUGAAGGUGACACAGAGCUCCUAUCAGGCAGAGGAGAACCACAACAUCACACUGGAGUGGACGUUCAACAGAAACACUAAGACUGAGGACAUUUAUGUCCUCUGUGAACAUUUAAACAAAGAAAGAGACCUGGGUCUGUACUGUUACUAUGCUGGUGUUGAGCUCUCAGAAUUUGUGGAUGAAGGUUUUUCAGGAAGAGUCCAGAGUGACACAGACGCCCUCAGAGAAGGACGAAUCAGACUUCAGUUGUCCAGACUCAGGACUGAGGACUCUGGUCGGUACGUGUGUGAUGUGAGGACAGAAUCUGGAGUUGGUUCAGCCUCCUGUGACCUGAGAGUCUCUGCAGCUGCUGCUGAGACACACACUGACAGACCAGCUCUGAGUCCAGAACCAGACACAGGACGAUGGACAGGAGAGAGAGCUGGACUGAUAGCGACAGGAGUUGAGGUCCUUCUGGUCCUCAGUUUGGUUUUCAUUUAUUUUAUGAUGACAAAAAGAAAAAAUGUGUCAGCUAGUGCACAGAAACAGUCCAUCAGCAGUAACCGGACUAGUCUUAAUGAAACCUCCACGUUUCCUGAUGUGGUCCAAACUGCCUGAUUUGCCUGAAGGUAAAUUUGCCCGGCAUGUAUGAUAUAUUUUGCAGAUUUUAAACUCUUCUUUUAAUGAUUCCUACACAGAAAACUUCCACCUGGUUUCAGUGAACAUCACGUCCGUCCUGCAGUCAGUCAGACAGACAGUGUUUGAAUGGAGUGUGUUAGGCUCUGCCUCUGUUAUCAUGCACAAACACACACUCUCUUAUCAGCCUGCGACACACUGCAGUCAUGAUUCUGACAUCAGCUUAUAUCUGCAUUACAUUGAUCUGUUCUGAACGUUUUUACAGUGAUUCUGUGUAUUAUGUGAUCAUCAUGUAAACAGGAGUUCCAGAGUGUUGGGGCAGAGCAGCUGAAUGCUCUAUAGAGGAC
ensembl:lncRNA